rnacentral:rRNA from 1 species
CUUCCUACGGGGGGCAGCAGUGAGGAAUAUUGGUCAAUGGGCGAGAGCCUGAACCAGCCAAGUCGCGUGAGGGAGUACUGCCCUAUGGGUUGUAAACCUCUUUUGUCGGGGAACAAAGGCGCCCACGGGUGGGCGGAUGAGUGUACCCGAAGAAAAAGCAUCGGCUAACUCCGUGCCAGCAGCCGCGGUAAUACGGAGGAUGCGAGCGUUAUCCGGAUUUAUUGGGUUUAAAGGGUGCAUAGGCGGACGGUCAAGUCAGCGGUAAAAAUGCGGUGCUCAACGCCGUACAGCCGUUGAAACUGGCA